rnacentral:lncRNA from 1 species
CACAGUCAUUAUGAAUUUCUAUCAAAUAGUUAAAUCAGUACUAAUUUCUCCUAUUAAAACUCAAACUCAAAAUCUCACACCAACCCAAAAGCUAAAUCACUCCCAAUUUCUAAUUGUACAUAAACAUUUCAGAGUGUAACUUCUUAAUAUAUAUUCAUGUAUUUCUAAAAACCAACAUAUGCAAAGGUUUUUGAAGGAUCUCUCUGAAUUUGAUGAAGAAUAAGCCUUUCUAAUACCUUGGUUGAAGUUUCA